CCCUACGGGGUGCAGCAGGCCUUGAUUGACCGGAUUGAACACGCCUUGUUGGCCGCGCACCACGCGGACCCAUCCGACCUGGUGCGCCGGCGGGCUUUGGAGUCGCUCGGUUUUUCAAACCAUGCCGACGUGCCCCAGUUAAUCCGCGCGGCUUUCGCACGCCAGGAGUUGGAUUGGGUGGAAAGCGCCCUGUUUGCCAUGGGGCGCUCAGCUGACGAGCAAUGGGAACAAAACGUGCUUGCGACCUUAACCCACGAAAACGCUGCUGUCCGCGCCCAGGCCUUCCACGCCGCUGGUGAACUCAGCCUGCAGAAAGCCCGCCAAACCCUGGUCAAAGCACUAAAAAACGAGGUGGACAGCGACGUGCGUCACGAAGCCAUCUGGGUGCUUUCCCAAAUUGGCGGGAGGGC
rnacentral:rRNA from 1 species